AAUGCCGAAUGUGCCCUUCGGGGGAAAAGAUUUUAUCGCCUUUAGAGCGGCCCGCGUCUGAUUAGCUAGUUGGUGGGGUAAUGGGCCCCACCAAGGCUACGAUCAGUAGCUGGUCUGAGAGGAUGACCAGCCACAUUGGGACUGAGACACGGCCCAAACUCCUACGGGAGGCAGCAGUGGGGGAAUCUUGCGCAAUGGGCGAAAGCCUGACGCAGCCAUGCCGCGUGUAUGAUGAAGGUCUUAGGAUUGUAAAAUACUUUCACCGGUGAAGAUAAUGACUGUAGCCGGAGAAGAAGCCCCGGCUAACUUCGUG
rnacentral:rRNA from 1 species